UACAAUUAGAAAAAGACAAUUACUGAAAAACAGUUACUUCAAGUUACUGUUGCUAAAGGUGGUUUUGAAAACUACUGGAUCAUGGGUUUUCUGACUUUUCACAAAAGCAACAAAGAAAGAGAACAAGAGGACCCUGGAGCGAGAGGAUUUUUAAAUCUUGGGAAAGGGCAAAAGUAAAAGGUGAAUCACACAUGUACUGCGCUCAACUCAAGGUAGACAACUGGCGCAGGUGGAAAGAGAACAAAGACGGAGGAGCAGAGGAGAACAGAGGGAUGGAAACGGAUGUAUGUCUGUUAUGUUCUUGAGGGUUAAACUCUGGGGAAAUUACCUCAUCGCAAGACCUCUCCAGAGUGCUGCAGCCAUGUUGAUUUUUCACUGCUUGUGUCUAACUCGAGGCCAAACCAGCCAAACUCUGACAGUUUGACCUUCCUCAGAGGUCACUCCUAUUCUUACAGCAGCCAGCCCAGCACGGCCUCCUGCUUCAACACAGGCCAGCCCUGUAUAACUGAUCAUACCGCUAUCCAGACUCAUUCUGCAGAGAUGUGGGAAUGAAAGGUCCGAUUAGGGCCUGCUGGAAGUAUUCAGCACACAGUCGCUACCCUGCCCGGCCCAUCACUCCAGUCGGCGGCCCCCUUCUAACCAGCCCCUGCUCCCCUCCGUCCUGCGCUCCUCAGAGCUGUGAUUGGCAUGUGAAUUACAGUGUGUGGUGAUGAUAAUAAGAGUGCUAACCGGGGCCAGGCCUGCGCCUUCGAGCCAGCAGCCAAUCCCAGCUGGCACAGCCUGAAAGACAACCGCUGCCACCAUCUGAAGAGGCAAAU